AGCGAACGCUGGCGGCAUGCUUAACACAUGCAAGUCGCACGAGAGCUUCGGCUCUAGUGGCGGACGGGUGAGUAACGCGUAGGAAUCUAUCCAUGGGUGGGGGAUAACAUCGGGAAACUGGUGCUAAUACCGCAUGAUACCUGAGGGUCAAAGGCGCAAGUCGCCUGUGGAGGAGCCUGCGUUCGAUUAGCUAGUUGGUGGGGUAAAGGCCUACCAAGGCG
rnacentral:rRNA from 1 species